rnacentral:rRNA from 1 species
ACUCAAAGGAAUAGACGGGGGCCCGCACAAGCGGUGGAGCAUGUGGUUUAAUUCGAUGCAACGCGAAGAACCUUACCUACUCUUGAAUCCACGGAAGUCUGCAGAGAUGCGGAUGUGCCUUCGGGAACCGUGAGACAGGUGCUGCAUGGCUGUCGUCAGCUCGUGUCGUGAGAUGUUGGGUUAAGUCCCGUAACGAGCGCAACCCUUGUCCUUAGUUACUAACGAGUUAAGUCGAGGACUCUAAGGAGACUGCCGGUGAUAAACUGGAGGAAGGUGGGGACGAUGUCAAGUCAUCAUGGCCCUUACGAGUAGGGCUACACACGUGCUACAAUGGUCGGUACAAAAGGUUGCGAAGUCGCGAGACGGAGCCAAUCCCAAAAAACCGAUCUUAGUCCGGAUUGGAGUCUGCAACUCGACUCCAUGAAGCUGGAAUCGCUAGUAAUCGUAGAUCAGAACGCUACGGUGAAUACGUUCUCGGGCCUUGUACACACCGCCCGU